GUUCCCCGCCGCCUGCGGGCCCGCCCCCUCCGCGCGUCACGGUGCCGACGCCAUCGGCAGCGCCCCCGAGGGAGGGGCUGUGAUAGCGGCUUGGGUGCACCGCCCUCUUCCUGGAACCCGGAUGUGCGGUGCGACCGUGGGCGGCAGCGCCCCCUAUGGGUGUGGCGGUGUGAGGAAACAGCCCGGGCCGGGCCGGGUGGCGGCGGCUCCGCGCUGAGCGCUCCCCUCGGGAAGCCCUUGCGCUCUCCGCGGGGUGCCGGGCCUGCUGCGCUGGGCUGCCCGCGGGGGAACCGCGCUUUCCCCGAGACAGCGCCGCUGGUGUCCUGCUGCCUGGCUUGGCCGUGGCUGCGCGCAGCCCCCGCUGCACCGGCCCCCAGGGAGCGCCUCGCUAGGUGACGCGGGGAUGCGCCGCGGCCCGGCCCGUGGGCGCUCAGGCAUCUGCUAGACGGGCCCUGCUGUGGAUGGCCGCCCUUCUCAGCACGCCGGGGCUUCACGCUGUCCAUACCUUAUGUAGCAACAACACGUAAGGCAAAACCAGAAGUGGCCUGAAUAGUAACACCGUACAUCAGUCUUGCAAGAAAGAAAAGGCAAGAGCUUGCUUAUUUCUUCAGCCAGAGCUCUUGCUCCACAAGUCUCUCUUCGAUGUGUUUUCCUGGAUUCCGUGUGUUUCCCUGGACCCGUCCAUGGUCGAGCUGCAGUGCACUAGGAAAUGAGAGCACUCUUUUGACAUUAAUGGGGAUCACUUGGCUGCAACAGUUUGUGCAAGACAGAAAGAAUAAUACAGGGAGGAGGUUCUCUAGAAUGGACUAUUACCACAUGUCUAGAUGCCAAACAAUUCUGAAUUUCGUCAUAUGAUCAGGUUUCACCUGCUGCUGAUUUUACCUUCUACAAAAUGGCAUCUGUGCUUCAAAGAACCUACUCUCUGUUCUACCAGUCCCUCUGGGAUUGUUUCUCCAUCAAAAGGGCAUCCCACAUGUAAGGCUAUGAGAUUUUCCAUGGUAGAUGAAAAAGUCCUUUGCACACAGAGCUACGUAGCAGACAGUAACAACGAGGGAGGUAUUGUUUUUUCUCCUUCUGUAAAAGAAGCAAGGAGCAUUCAGCAAGCAAACGGUGGAUCUAAAGCAGUGUUGUUACUCACCACAAUGUGGUCAUUCUGGUCCCUCCUGUACCUCUGUGCAGGCACGUCCCGUAAGGGGAAAUAAUAGCUUCUUUCUCAGCAGCCUUCCUGGUGUGUUGUGUCACCAGGGAAAUAUGCGUGGGAUCCUGGCUGGAGACAUGUGCUACCUGUGGAGUAUUUAAUAAUAUUUCUCUGUGCAAAUUUCCUCAACGGAGAAUGAAUAGUACCUUUCCCAUGUCGUUCACCAUUGUGCCUGCUCUGUUUUAUGCCCUGUCUCCUUUAAGCUUUUAAUUUGUAUAUAUCUAUCAUGGUUCUUGUAAAAGUUGCACAUAUUUUAAAAAAUAUGUCAAUUGAUUGAAAGGAGUAAGCAGUAAAAUGGAAGCCUCUAAAGGAAAACUUCUUUGAUUAAAAAAAUCGAAGUAGAAGAUACUGGAAAUGAGAAACCUUUAAUCUUUUAUGAUUUUGGCAGAUUGCUAAAUGAAAUUUCAUUUCAGCAUCUCAAAAAGUGAGGUACAGCUACCAUCACCCCAGCACAGCUGUAUAUGUUUGGUAGGUUCCAGGGAGGAAUUCCUUUACAGAAUUAACUGAAGGGAGAGUGACUUCUCAUAUUUACCUCAGGACCUCAAAAGCCCAAGCAGCUGGUCAAAUCCCACCUCUCUUUGGAUCUUAAAACUAUCCUUGUUCCUUCCAAAAGGAGAGGAUGCCUCCUGCUUGCAUGGUACUAUCAAGUCUCUUAUAGAAAUUAAAACUCCUUUUAGAUCUUUUUGACAUUUAACUAUAAAGCCAUCUGGUCUUGCUGCUGUAUUUAUUUACAGAUUAUUUAUGACAGUGUCUACAUCCUCCUUUAUAAAUAUAUUCUCUAUAAUUUUGUAGUGUGAGGAGGAGUAAGAUAGUUUAACUUUUCUUGGUACUUUUUGGCACUAACAUAUGUAUUAUUCUUUAUAAAGUUAUUUAUGUAUUGAUAAUAACUGCCUUGAAGUAUGAUAAGGUUAUAUUAAAAUCACUUUUUCUUAA